rnacentral:rRNA from 1 species
GACGAACCGUGCGAACGUUAUUCGGAAUCACUGGGCUUAAAGCGCGUGUAGGCGGGACGGCACGUCGGUCGCUGAAAUCCCCCGGCUCAACCGGGGAACGGGCGCCGAUACGACCGCCCUGGAGGGACGUAGGGGGACCUGGAACUUCCGGUGGAGCGGUGAAAUGCGUAGAUAUCGUAAGGAAGACCAGUGGCGAAGGCGAGUCUUUGGACAGUUACUGACGCUGAGGCACGAAGGCCAGGGGAGCAAACGGG